GUGGGAGAAAGGAGGUAAAGAGAGUACUCUGGCAAGGGAGAGGACUUGAGCAAGGGUAUGGAAGUUGGGAAAGUGUGCUGUGUGGAGAACUAAAAAUGGCUAAUUUUUGCUGGGUUCUAAGGUUUGAGGCAGAAAUGACAAAGGAUAAAGCUAGAGAGAUAGGCAGGUACCAGAUUUUGAGUGAUCUUUUAUGUUGUGGUAAGCAAUUUGAACUUUGGUUAUCACGAGACGUGGGAAGGUCUUAGGCAAGUAGUGAUAUGAUCAGAUUUUAAUUUUGAGUCCACUCCUGUAUGGAGGAUGGAUCUGAAGAAGUCAGGACUAGAGGUGAGAGUAACCUGUUAGGAAGUUAUUGAAAGCAGUGUAUGCAGGUAAUCCUGGAAGGAAGAUCUGGAGCAAAGAUUGUAGGAAUAAAGAGAAGAGCACCGAUUGGAGAGAUGUUUAACAGGGCAUGUGGAAACCCGAUUCCCUUUGGUAGGUGCGUAGAAACGUUCAUCCAUUCGGUCCACAGAAACGCUUGUUCGGCUCCCUGACGAUUGGUGGACACAUGCAGGUGGAGGAGCCACAGAGGAAGAAGAGACCUUGCGUAAGGCGAAACUGGAAAUGUAAAAUGGGUGAAAGAAGUGGAGUGUGCUUUUCCAGCAAAGGCCAUUUAUCCAUUCCAAGAGGGAGUUAAGAGUGGCAGUUAGGGGAUAAGACCAGGACCAGCUAUGAUGGUUUGGAGGAAAAGUAUAAGCUGGCAGUGUAGACAAGGGCAGGGCAUGUAUGGAGAGGUGAAAACGAAGAAUAGGAGUAUGACUAGACAGAAGAGAGCAGGGAUGAAAAGUUUUUGGGAUGCAGUCUAAGUAGUGGGGGUGACUGCAUAAGGCCCUGUUGCAAAGACUCUGGUAAGGAAGGAUAGACCUAACAAAAUGAAGGGAUGUAUUAGGCUCAUAAGGGUUACUACUGUUCUUCAGAAAUGUGGGUGAGUUUAAGGGAAGUAGGGGUGAGUACUCGCGACUUCCAGAAGGAAGAGGAGAGAUCAGGCUGGCUGUCCAAUGGACACGGCUUUAUUCUGGAACGGUGAACCCAAUGGGGAGGGUCCUGCAGGAGGACGGCAGUUAGGGUAUUAUAGAUGACUAAGUAGGGUCCGGUCCGUCGAGGUUGUAGAGUUUGAGGGGUCAGAUUCUUAACAAGAACUGAUCGUCCAGAUAGGGUGUCUUCAUAAGGCUGGG
rnacentral:lncRNA from 10 species